rnacentral:rRNA from 1 species
CAGUAGCCGCGGUAAUACGGAGGGAGCUAGCGUUGUUCGGAAUUACUGGGCGUAAAGCGCGCGUAGGCGGUUACUCAAGUCAGAGGUGAAAGCCCGGGGCUCAACCCCGGAACUGCCUUUGAAACUAGGUGACUAGAAUCUUGGAGAGGUCAGUGGAAUUCCGAGUGUAGAGGUGAAAUUCGUAGAUAUUCGGAAGAACACCAGUGGCGAAGGCGACUGACUGGACAAGUAUUGACGCUGUGGUGCGAAAGCGUGGGGAGCAAACAGGAUUAGAUACCCCCGUAGUCCCUGUCUCUUAUAC